rnacentral:rRNA from 1 species
UACAGAGGUCUCAAGCGUUGUUCGGAUUCAUUGGGCGUAAAGGGUGCGUAGGCGGCGCGGUAAGUCGGGUGUGAAAUCUCGGAGCUUAACUCCGAAACUGCAUUCGAUACUGCCGUGCUUGAGGACUGGAGAGGAGACUGGAAUUUACGGUGUAGCGGUGAAAUGCGUAGAUAUCGUAAGGAAGACCAGUGGCGAAGGCGGGUCUCUGGACAGUUCCUGACGCUGAGGCACUGAAGGUCAGGGGAGCAAACGGG